rnacentral:misc_RNA from 1 species
GAUGAAGAACGUAGUGAAAUGCGAUAAGUAAUGUGAAUUGCAGAAUUCAGUGAAUCAUCGAAUCUUUGAACGCACAUUGCGCCCGCCAGUAUUCUGGCGGGCAUGCCUGUUCGAGCGUCAUUUCAACCAUCAAGCCCCCGGCUUGUGUUGGGGACCUGCGGCUGCCGCAGGCCCUGAAAAGCAGUGGCGGGCUCGCUGUCACACCGAGCGUAGUAGCAUACAUCUCGCUCUGGGCGUGCUGCGGGUUCCGGCCGUUAAACCACCUUCAUAACCCAAGGUUGACCUCGGAUCAGGUAGGAAGACCCGCUGAACUUAAGCAUAUCAUAAGCGGAGGA